UUCUCAGUCCCUCUGCCUCUCCCUCCCUCUCUCAGCCCCUCUCUCUCCACCUCUCCCGCCCUCCCUCUCUCUUAAUUACACUGUUUUCUUCAUGCAGCAGAUUAAGAUUCCCAGUACUUUUUUAGGGCAAUACCACUUACCACUUACCUAGAAUAUGAAUAGCUGUUGUCCGUUAUAUAUAUUUAGCCCAUCAGGCUCUGAGCGUUCAAAUGAAACCAGGAAGCAUGUAGUUGCUUUGGCAACACCAGAACAGUGUUUUUAUCAAAUCAACUCUUCGCAGCUCAGCUCAGCUGAUUCAGAUCUUGGUACAUUUCCUCCUUCAGCACAUCAAGGAUAUCAUCUAUCUCAGGACAGACAGGUUAUUGUCCUGCUGAAAGGUGAAUGUGUCUCCCAGUGUCUGGUGGAAAGCAGACUGAACCAGGUUAUUGUCCUGCUGAAAGGUGAAUGUGUCUCCCAGUGUCUGUUGGAAAGCAGACUGAACCAGGUUAUUGUCCUGCUGAAAGGUGAAUGUGUCUCCCAGUGUCUGUUGGAAAGCAGACUGAACCAGGUUAUUGUCCUGCUGAAAGGUGAAUGUGUCUCCCAGUGUCUGUUGGAAAGCAGACUGAACCAGGUUAUUGUCCUGCUGAAAGGUGAAUGUG